UACGAAGGGGGCUAGGGCUGCUCGGAAUGACUGGGCGUAAAGGGCGCGUAGGCGGCUUACAUAGUUAGGCGUGAAAUUCCUGGGCUCAACCUGGGGACUGCGUCUAAUACAUGUAGGCUUGAGUGUGAAAGAGGGUCGUGGAAUUUCCAGUGUAGAGGUGAAAUUCGUAGAUAUUGGAAAGAACACCGGUGGCGAAGGCGGCGACCUGGUUCAUUACUGACGCUGAGGCGCGAAAGCGUGGGGAUCAAACAGG
rnacentral:rRNA from 1 species